rnacentral:rRNA from 1 species
GUUGUAUGGUUAAGUGACUAAGCGUACACGGUGGAUGCCUUGGCAGUCAGAGGCGAUGAAGGACGUAUUAACUUGCGAUAAGCCCAGAUUAGGUAGUAAAAACCAUUUGAGUCUGGGAUUUCCGAAUGGGGAAACCCACUUACAUAAGUAAGUAUCGUUAUGUGAAUACAUAGCAUAACGAGGCGAACCGGGGGAACUGAAACAUCUAAGUACCCCGAGGAAAAGAAAUCAACCGAGAUUCCGAAAGUAGCGGCGAGCGAAAUUGGACUAGCCCUUAAGCUUUACACGCGUUAGACGAACAGCCUGGAAAGGCCGACGAUACAGGGUGAUAGUCCCGUAGUUGACGACGUGUGUUCAGUGAAAUCGAGUAGGGCGGGACACGUGAUAUCCUGUCUGAA